AGCAAAAACAGAAAACUGACUGAAUGUGCUGUUUUCUUAACACCAUAACAGCACAUUCACAUCUCAUAAUGAUAUUCCAGUGUUGCAAACCUAUCUGAGGUAAAGGUCAAAGGUCAACGCACAAGGAGCAGUAAAACAUACUCUCGGUGGCGAUGGAUAAGUUGCAGCAGAAGGCUGUGGAGCAACCUGAGCAGAAGAAAUCCAAGUCGGCUGAAUUUCUGAUGGCAGAAAGAGCCAUGAUGGAAGGUGCAGUGAAUCCUGCGUUCCAGGAGGACUCGGAGGAAGAGAGUGAGAUGAGAGGUGGCGUGAACGAUAGCACGCUUGUAUCCCGGCGACAUCAGGCCACAGUUAC